AGAGUUUGAUCCUGGCUCAGGAUGAACGCUGGCGGCGUGCCUAAUACAUGCAAGUCGAACGAGGUGCUUUUGUAGCAAUACGAGAGUAUCCUAGUGGCGAACGGGUGAGUAACGCGUUGGUGACCUACCCCAAAGUGUGGGAUAACAGUCCGAAAGGAUUGCUAAUACCGCAUGUGGUCAUUGGAUUUAGAAACUGAUGACUAAAGGAGCAAUUCGCUUUGGGAGGGACCUGCGUCCCAUCAGCUAGUUGGUGAGGUAACGGCUCACCAAGGCGACGACGGGUAGGGGACCUGAGAGGGUGACCCCCCACAAUGGAACUGAAACACGGUCCAUACACCUACGGGUGGCAGCAGUAGGGAAUAUUGCACAAUGGGCGAAAGCCUGAUGCAGCAACGCCGCGUGUGUGAUGAAGGCCUUCGGGUCGUAAAGCACUUUUCUGGGAGAUGAGAAAGGACAGUAUCCCAGGAAUAAGUCUCGGCUAACUACGUGCCAGCCGCCGCGGUAAUAC
rnacentral:rRNA from 1 species